rnacentral:rRNA from 1 species
UACGUAGGAUGCAAGCGUUGUCCGGAUUUACUGGGCGUAAAGCGCGCGCAGGCGGCACUCUAAGUACGUCGUGAAAUAUCCCGGCUCAACCGGGAGGGUGCGAUGUAGACUAGGGAGCUAGAGGUCGGUAGAGGGGGGUGGAAUUGCUGGUGUAGCGGUGAAAUGCGUUGAUAUGCAGAGGAACACCGGUGGCGAAGGCGGUUCUCUGGGAAUGUCCUGACGCUGAGGAGCGAAAGUGUGGGGAGCGAACAGG